rnacentral:misc_RNA from 1 species
CUCUCUCUCUCUCUCUCUCUGGGUGUGGUAGAUAUGUCGUGAGCUGAUCUAUACGGUGUCGUAAAAGGACUGCAAAUGCGUUGGAUGAGUGUUAGUUGAAGGAUGAGCUUAUGCAUCUAUUUACGAGACAUUCUUGUCUAUUUCGGGAGAUUUUUUUUGCCUAGUGACCAAUUUGCCCUUCAUUUUCUGUCAUAUUUACUUUCAUUUCCUGUGGCUGUUUAACUGAUUUUCCCAAUUCUCGAUUGGCUAUAUCGAUUAAAAACACUAUCGCCAGCCGACGAGGACAAAUCUGCCAUUUUAAUGGGUGUAGACUCUCAUUUAAGGGUCAAUUCGCCGAUGAACGGUGAAUAACCGUCGGCAUGUAGUGCAAUAUCCACACUAUUUAUUUAAAUUUCUAUGGACGAGAAUGCCCCCUUGCACUUCAAUAUUUUACUUUCACAUGAAAUUAGUUAGCAGCUUGAGAGUGGGUCACGUUUUCUUCUCGCCUCUUUUCCGGUCACCUGUCAUUCAAUCUUGUUCUCUCAUAUCUGUAAAUAGACCAAAUCGCUCUUCAAAGCCUUACAUAUUAGAUUCUAAUGACAGUACGAUUCCCAGUGAGGACGGUUUUGUCAGAUUCAAGAUAUAUAUCCACUGGCCCCAAGAGCCCACGAAGCUUCCAACGCAGGAAUAGGAGCUUUAAUUCUUGUCUCCUUCUGACCAAAAUACCCACAGCCAAGAGUCAGACAUUGAGACGUUUCCUGCUUCCGACGUGGGAGUAUUUUGGUCAUAAAUGGUGUGGUUAGGUGGAGCCCAGUUACCAUUGGGGUUGGGCCCCGAAACGAGAGAGAGAGAGAGAGAGGAGAUUGGUAUCUUUGCGUUUAGUGCAGCGUUGUUGUGAGUGGGGGAUGGCCUUUUACACCUUGUUUGGAUAGGUGGAAAAGGAAGAGGAAGAAAUUUAACGAGAGAAAAAUAAAGUUAAAAAGAUAUUUUAUCUUGUUUGGAAGAAGUAAAAUAAGGGGAGAGGAAAAAAUUUAUCCUAUUUUUUUUAGUUAUUUUUUUUUAAUUUAGAGAUAAUAAAAAAUCAAAGAAUUAAAAUAGCUUAUCAUUGUCGCCUUGUCUUCUCUUCUCUUUCUUUAUUAGCUUCCAAUUUCUUUGUGUUUAUAUGGCCUUACCUUCUGGGAAAUGGGAAGAUGUUUAGUGUGUUUUCUUGCACCAAUUCGCCUUUGGGUCUCAUUAACAUGGACCUUGAGAUUAUGAGAUUACAUAUUUAUAUAUUUUUUAUGAGAAAAGGCGAGGAAAUUGAAAGGUGGAAGCUGGGUAUUUGAAGGUGCGUGAAACUUGGGCAACAGCCAUGUCAGGGAAGUCACGCGAGCAAUUAAAAACAAAACAAACAAAAGAGAGUGUCACGUGUUAUGAUA